CCGCCCAUAGCUCAAUUGGUAGAGCAGCGCCCUUUUAAGGCGAAGGUUCCUGGAUCGUCCCCAGGUGGGCGGA
rnacentral:tRNA from 1 species